rnacentral:rRNA from 1 species
UACGGAGGGUGCGAACGUUAAUCGGAAUCACUGGGCGUAAAGCGCGCGUAGGCGGUUUGUUAAGUGGGAUGUGAAAGCCCCGGGCUUAACCUGGGAAUUGCAUUUCAAACUGGCGAACUAGAGUGCGGUAGAGGGAGGUAGAAUUUCCUGUGUAGCGGUGAAAUGCGCAGAUAUCAGGAAGAACACCCGUGGCUAAGGCGGCUCUCUAGUACGGUACUGACGCUGAGACGCGAAAGCGUGGGGAGCGAACAGG